UAAAUAUGUAAAUGUGUGAGGGUGUGUUGCACUGUGAUGGACAUCUUCUAGACCUUCAUCAGUGGUCACAGGACGCUGCCUAUGGGGCGCUGUUGGCUGGACAUAUUUUUGGUUGGUGGACUAUUCUCAGUCCAGCAGUGACAGUGAGUGUCACUGCAGUGCUGAGAAUGACCCACCAGCCAAAAAAUAUCUACUCUGUGGUGGUCCUGGGAGAUUCCUGACAAUUGAAGAACAGCAUGAAAGGGGGCUAACAAAGCAUGCAGAGAAACAGAUGGACUACAGUCAGUAACUGAAGAACUACAAAGUGCUUCUAUAUGAAACUGUGGAUACUUCAGUUUAUUUCUAUCUGCCCGAAACAUGCAGAAGGUUCUUGGAUGCCCUAAAUUGCCCUUAGGUGAGUAACUAAGUAAGUAAAU